rnacentral:rRNA from 1 species
UACGGGGGGGCAAGCGUUGUCCGGAUUUACUGGGCGUAAAGAGCGCGCAGGCGGUCGCUCAAGUCGCGUGUGAAAGCCCCCGGCUCAACUGGGGAGGGUCACGCGAUACUGAUCGACUGGAAGGCAGGAGAGGGUAGUGGAAUUCCCGGUGUAGUGGUGAAAUGCGUAGAUAUCUGGAGGAAUACCGGUGGCGAAGGCGGCAUCCUGGACCGAGAUUGACACUGAUGAGCGAAAGCUAGGGGAGCAAACGGG